CUGCGGUUUCGCCACAGCACUUUCUCCAGCAGCGCCAAGGCCGCGGAGGCAAUAGAAGUAAAAUCUACAGCUAAGAGAAGAUUCACAGAAAGGAAUUCCAAGGAGUAGAGAAAACUGUAGUGUCCUCAUUCACAUCCCAUCCAGCAGAAAUGGGUCCACCUACCUCAGAAUGGCCACCGGAGUGAGGCACCUCAAGAGAGAGUCCAGGAAAACCUGAUAUGUUUCCCAAGACCUUUGGAGAUCACUGACCCUGAUGCCUACUUUUUGCCCAGAGAAGUGUCAAGGCUAAAGGAUGGUCAAAACUGCCUCUGUCAACAGGGCAGACAGUGCAGCAAUGAAACCAAAGGAAAUCUCUACCCUUUGAUGGUGCAAGGAGAUUGCCUUUCACACUGUGAAAAAAUGUAAAGAAAAAUAAAGAUGAGCUGUAGGACUAUGG
rnacentral:lncRNA from 1 species